ACCCGCUGAACUUAAGCAUAUCAAUAAGCGGAGGAAAAGAAACCAACAGGGAUUGCCCUAGUAACGGCGAGUGAAGCGGCAACAGCUCAAAUUUGAAAUCUGGCGUCUUUGGCGUCCGAGUUGUAAUUUGCAGAGGGCGCUUUGGCAUUGGCAGCGGUCCAAGUUCCUUGGAACAGGACGUCACAGAGGGUGAGAAUCCCGUACGUGGUCGCUAGCCUUUACCGUGUAAAGCCCCUUCGACGAGUCGAGUUGUUUGGGAAUGCAGCUCUAAAUGGGAGGUAAAUUUCUUCUAAAGCUAAAUACUGGCCAGAGACCGAUAGCGCACAAGUAGAGUGAUCGAAAGAUGAAAAGCACUUUGGAAAGAGAGUUAAAAAGCACGUGAAAUUGUUGAAAGGGGAGCGCUUGCAGCCAGACUUGCCUGUAGUUGCUCAUCCGGGUUUCUACCCGGUGCACUCUUCUAUAGGCAGGCCAGCAUCAGUUUGGGCGGUUGGAUAAAGGUCUCUGUCAUGUACCUCUCUUCGGGGAGAACUUAUAGGGGAGACGACAUGCAACCAGCCUGGACUGAGGUCCGCGCAUCUGCUAGGAUGCUGGCGUAAUGGCUGU
rnacentral:rRNA from 1 species